GACGAACGCUGGCGGCGUGCCUAAUACAUGCAAGUCGAACGCAUUUUCUUUCACCGUAGCUUGCUACACCGAAAGAAAAUGAGUGGCGAACGGGUGAGUAACACGUGGGUUACCUGCCCAUCAGCGGGGGAUAACACUUGGAAACAGGUGCUAAUACCGCAUAAUUCCAUUUACCGCAUGGUAAGUGGAUGAAAGGCGCUUUUGCGUCACUGAUGGAUGGACCCGCGGUGCAUUAGCUAGUUGGUGGGGUACCGGCCUACCACGGGUGCGAUGCAUAGCCGACCUGGGAGGGGGAGAGGCCAAGCUGGGAUCGGAAGACGGCCCGGACCACUGCGGGUGGGAGCAGGAGGGGAUUUUCGGGAAAGGACGCAAGGCGGACCCAUAGACGCCGGGGGAGUGAAGGAUGUUUUCGGGUCGUAAAACCCUUGUAUUAGAGAAGAACAAGGAGGAGGGUGGAAAGUUCAUCCCUUGACGGUAUCUAACCAGAAAGCCACGGCUAACUACGUG
rnacentral:rRNA from 1 species